UUCUCUCUAACUUCAGUUUCACAAAAAGCAUGAGAUGAAAAUGUGGACCACACCCAAAUCACGUUGAAAAGUGACAAAAAUAAUAGUUAUGAACAUGUAAACCUAAAAAUUACCAAACGAAUCAUCUAUCAGUGUAUAUAUAUAUAUAUAUGAUAUAAAAACAUUUAUCAGUUAAAAAUAGGGGAUAAUUUGCUUAAAAACCAAGGAAGAUGGAGAAAUUAGAAAUUUGCCAAUAACAGUAAAAGUUUGAUGUGUGUGAAGACAAACGCUAGAGUGAAAGACGCAACUGCCCCUAAUACUUGACGAAUUGAUUUCCAGAACCUAGAUGAUGUACACCUAUAAGCUGACGAUUUGGAAAGAUUAUAAAAAUAUUUUGUUUAGAUUUGAUAAACUUAUCUCGGUAAAAAAUAUAAUCAAAAUUACACCAAACCCACAUCUUCUUUCAUUGCCGACGUCUUUCUCUUCAUCUUCUUUCCUCUUUUUCCUAAUAAAUCUAAACAAAAUUGAAGAAGAACACGAGUUCCAAAUAAUUCAUGAGUUCAUCUGGUUAUUUCUCCAUGCGUUCAUGAGGUGGUGGAUACGGCGGAAGGGAAACCACUCCUAUUGUCAAGAAGAUGAGAGGAGGACCUACUGGUUCUAGCAAAAGGCAAAAGGCAAAAGCUUUAGUUUUGUUCAAUGUUUUGAAGAAGAAGAGUCAAUGCAUCCGUUUUGGCGAGGGAAGUGGAAGAAAAACCAGACUAAAGAAUGGCAGCCUAAGGCCAAAAAACAUUGGAUUGGCCUUUCUAUUGUGAUACAGAUGUAUAUACUUAAGUUUAAGCAAGAAUAUCUAUUGGGUAUAGUCCUCGGCUACAGAAAAGCUUAGCAUGGUUAAGUUUAUUUUUGGUUUGAUAAUCUUUCUUGUAACCGAUGAGGAAUUAUGUUUACAAAACCGGUUACAAGAAAUUUUAGCAUUGUUUGCUUUCUUGUUGGCGUGUUAAAAUUUCUUGUAACCAAUAAUAUAAUAAAAUAUCAUGUAAUGAAAUUGUCUUAUUGUCAAAUUGUUUUCUAUAA